rnacentral:misc_RNA from 1 species
UUUCCAUAUUUCCUGUCUCC